UAUGGUGUGCCGGGGGCCGCGCGGGCCGGGAGUUGGGUGGGCUGGGGGACAGGCGCGCCCGCGCCGCCCGCUCCAGCUGGGCUAGUGCUGCACAUUCCGGCCAGCCCCUCCUCAAGACCCCAUUCCCAAGCCCCUUCUCAGCUCCCUCGGGCCGGCAGAGCGGCUCUGAUCAGUAAAAUGCUGUUGAAGGCCCACGGGCAUGACUGCACCCCUCACUAAUUGGUCAUUGGUUUGGGGAGGACACCACUGUCCCAGUGGAACCUUGAGCACACCUUGGAGCCCUCCUCUUCCUCUCCGGACCUGUGCCAAACUGUGAGUGGCACAGAGCAAGGACUGUAUGUGUUCUCUUCUUUGUUGCAUACUCAGUUCCUUGACCACAGUGCCAAGCACACAGCGAGCACUCCCUGUGUAUCUGCUGAGUAAAUAAACGAAUGAACAAACCCAACACAUUUCAGCCAAGUCCUGCUGAUGUUUCUCCUCCGAUCUAGCUCCUCCUUUCCAGCCUUACUUCUGCCACUCCAGAUUUCACCCCCAUCAGCUUCAGACUGGAUAAAAGGAAACCAUUUCUCUAAAGGAUCACUUGCUCUCUCAUUUCAGGCCAUCCUGCAGCCACCAGAACCUUCCACAUGAAAUGAAAGGCUCACCACUUCAUAGGCUUUAAGGAAAUUCUUGGCCAGGUGUGGUGCCUCACUCAUGUAAUCCCAGUGCUUUAAGAGGCCAAGAUGGGAGGAUUGUUUGAGCCAGCUGUUUGAGACCAGCCUGGGCAACGUCAUGAGACCCCAUCUCCACAAAAAAAAAAAAAAAGAAAAUUGGCUGGGUGCGGUGGCUCAUGUCUGUAAUCCCAGCAAUUUUGGAGGCUGAGGCGGGUGGAUCACUUGAGGUCAGGAGUUUGAGACCAGCCUGGCCAACAUGGUGAAACCCCGUCACUACUAAAAAUACAAAAAUUAGCCAGGCGUGGCGGCAGGUGCCUGUAAUCCCAGCUACUUGCGAGGCUGAGGAAGAAUUGCGUGAACCUAGGAGGUGGAGGUUGCAGUGAGCCAAGAUCAUGCUGCUGCACUCCAGCCUGGGCAACAGAGUGAGACUCCAUCUCAAAAAUAAUAAAAAUAAAUUAA
rnacentral:lncRNA from 1 species